GAAGCCUCUUGUUAAGGAGUCCACACUCAGUACACUGCAAAGCAGGUACCCUGAGUGCCGGCUCCUCCAUCCAAACCCAAUGGCUAGACUUUCCCAUGUGUAGACUACAGCUGGAAAGGAUCUUGGAGGACACAUUUUAGGUCAACCUUCUCGGUGCGAAGACCCCCGACAGGCGAAGCGAUCUGCCCAGGGGUAGGCGGCGAGCGCAUGACAGGCUGCGAGGGGAACCUGAGACGCCCCAGUUUCUCCCUUCCCUUGCUGGCCUCUUGCUCACCCGCAGGGUGCGGGGGAGGCUGGAGGAGGAGCUGAGCAGAAUUGCGGCGGCGGCCGGGGGCCGGGGCUUUUGGGGCGGUCCCUGGCGGCCGCUUGUCCCAGAGCCCUUGGAGGGGAGCGCGCGCGUGCUGGCCUCUCCUGCGCGCUCCCGCCUCCCCGGGGCUCCGAGGAACCCGGGCACGUUCCGGACAGAGACUGCAGAGCUGGGGGUUGCUUCCCGCUGCCAGAGGCCGUGCCGUCCCUGGGACGUGGAGAAGAGCUCGAGCCGUCUCCGCCCCAGGAACUUUCCGCAGACUCAGCGCGAUCUGUCUGCGGAGGGAACCCCAGGUUUUAAAGGCAGUUCUACGAAACCGAGCCCCUAAGUUCCAGCCACCUUCUGCACGCGAUCUGGAUCUCCGGGGAGGCUGGAGCUUGGAUGAGUGAGCCCCAGCCCCACAGGAGAUGGGCUUCUCUCCGGUUUCCCUGCUCCUGCUUCCUCGGGAAGCGCGCCCCCUCCUCGAGGAGGCUCUGCCGCCCCUUUGCUCUCCAGGCGUGGCAUCAGAGUUCAGCUCCCGGGCCUGAGCACCCGCCCUGGGCGCUGCGCUGGCACUUUGGGUCUUUGCACCACGCGGAGCAGAGGGUUAUCUUCCCCGCUUUUCUCAAAGCCCCGCGUAGAAGGCGCCAGAGUUUGGAGUCAGGGGUGGUGGUUUCCAGCCCUGGUCUGUCACUUGCAGUUUCACUAUCCUAUCUCCGAGCCUGUUUCUCCAUCUGUGACAUGGAGAAAAUACCCUUUGCAUACCGAAAUCAAGUGAGAAAGGGGCUGUGCAAAGUAUCUUGGAGUGAAGACUUCCUUCCGAACUCCCUCCUUCUCCUCCUUUUGCCUCUUAAGACUUGGUUGUUCGAAUCGCCGGUUCUUUUGCGCCCGUGUCCCCCCUCCACAAACUCCUUGAGGACAGGGACUGUCCAGCUGUGGUCACCUCUGAGGCAUCCUCAGCUCUUGGCACAGGGCCUGGC
rnacentral:lncRNA from 1 species